AUAAUACUCCCUCUGUGCGGAAUUACUUGUCAUCAAAAUGGAUGUGUCUAGAACUAAAAUACAUCUAGAUACAUCCAUUUCAAUGACAAGUAUUUUCGGACGGAGGAAGUAGUAG
rfam:Triticum aestivum genome assembly, contig: Triticum_aestivum_CS42_TGACv1_scaffold_515987_6BS